CUACGGGUCGCACCAGUGAGGAAUAUUGCACAAUGGGGGGAACCCUGAUGCAGCAACGCCGCGUGGAGGAUGACGCAUUUCGGUGUGUAAACUCCUUUUAUAUGUCAAGAAAAUGACGGUAGCAUAUGAAUAAGCACCGGCUAACUCCGUGCCAGCAGCCGCGGUAAUACGGAGGGUGCAAGCGUUACUCGGAAUCACUGGGCGUAAAGGACGCGUAGGCGGGUUGGAAAGUCAGGUGUGAAAUCCUACGGCUUAACUGCAGAACUGCACUUGAAACUUCUAAUCUAGAGUAUGGGAGGGGGAGAUGGAAUUAGUGGUGUAGGGGUAAAAUCCGUAGAUAUCACUAGGAAUACCUAAAGCGAAGGCGAUCUCCUGGAACAUUACUGACGCUAAGGCGUGAAAGCGUGGGGAGCAAACAGGAUUAGAUACCCGGGUAGUC
rnacentral:rRNA from 1 species